UACGGGGGGGGCAAGCGUUGUUCGGAAUUACUGGGCGUAAAGCGUGCGUAGACGGUUUCGUAAGUCGGGUGUGAAAUCCCCGGGCUCAACCUGGGAAUUGCAUUCGAAACUGCGAGGCUAGGGUACGGAAGAGGGAAGCGGAAUUUCUGGUGUAGCGGUGAAAUGCGUAGAUAUCUGGAGGAACACCGGUGGCGAAGGCGGCAUCCUGGACCAACACUGACACUGAGGAGCGAAAGCCAGGGGAGCAAACGGG
rnacentral:rRNA from 1 species